AGUGAACGCUGGCGGCGUGCUUAACACAUGCAAGUCGAACGAGAACGGAAUAUAGCUUGCUAUAUUUGUCAGCUAAGUGGCGCACGGGUGAGUAAUGUAUAGAUAACCUGCCCUUAAGAAAGGAAUAACAGUUGGAAACGACUGCUAAUGCCCUAUAUGCCUUUAAUACAUAAGUAUGCAAGGGAAACGCUUUAGUGCUUAAGGAUGGGUCUGUAUGGUAUCAGCUUGUUGGUGAGGUAAUGGCUCACCAAGGCUAUGACGCCUAACUGGUUUGAGAGGAUGAUCAGUCACACUGGAACUGAGACACGGCCAAGACUACUACGGGAGGCAGCAGUGGGGAAUAUUGCACAAUGGACGAAAGUCUGAUGCAGCAACGCCGCGUGGAGGAUGACACAUUUCGGUGCGUAAACUCCUUUUAUAUAGGAAGAUAAUGACGGUACUAUAUGAAUAAGCACCGGCUAACUCCGUGCCAGCCGCCGCAGUAA
rnacentral:rRNA from 1 species